UACGUAGGGUGCGAGCGUUGUCCGGAAUUAUUGGGCGUAAAGAGCUCGUAGGCGGUGUGUCGCGUCUGCUGUGAAAACCCGAGGCUCAACCUCGGGCCUGCAGUGGGUACGGGCAGACUAGAGUGCGGUAGGGGAGAUUGGAAUUCCUGGUGUAGCGGUGGAACGCGCAGAUAUCAGGAGGAACACCGAUGGCGAAGGCAGAUCUCUGGGCCGUAACUGACGCUGAGGAGCGAAAGCAUGGGGAGCGAACAGG
rnacentral:rRNA from 1 species